AUUGAACGCUGGCGGCAGGCCUAACACAUGCAAGUCGAGCGAGCGGCGGACGGGUGAGUAAUGUAUGGGGACUGCCCGAUAGCGGGGGAUAACUACUGGAAACGGUAGCUAAUACCGCAUACUAUCGGAUAACCCAUAUGGGAUUAGCUAGUUGGUGAGGUAAAGGCUCACCAAGGCGACGAUCCCUAGCUGGUCUGAGAGGAUGAUCAGCCACACUGGGACUGAGACACGGCCCAGACUCCUACGGAGGGAGCAGUGGGGAAUGUUGGACAAUGGGGGAAAGCCUGAUGCAGCCAUGCCGCGUGUAUGAAGAAGGCCUUAGGGUUGUAAAGUACUUUCAGUCGGGAGGCGGUACCUACAGAAGAAGCACCGGCUAACUCCGUGCCAGCAGCCGCGGUAAUAC
rnacentral:rRNA from 1 species